AUUUUCAGAUUAAGAAUUACUGAAUAAAAUGGAAAACAUAAAAAAAGGAAAUUGAUUCACAAAAUGAAAUAGUAUGAUGAACAAAAAACAAAAAGAAAACAUAAAAGGAUAGAUAGAACCUGAUUUAGAGCCAACGCUCUGAUACCAAAUUAUAUGAAUUUGCCUAACUCCAUCUCAAAAGCUAGCUCACAAGGAAAGGUUUGCAAACCCAUAUAUAUAAUACCUGAGAUCUCCCUGCAGAACCGAUAUGGGACGCAUCAUUCCCAACCCCUUUAUACUGAACAUUCUUGUGAAGCAACCAGAGUCAUAACUCGUUCACUCCGAUCUCUCCCGAAGAACGUCAGGAAACCUUUUGUACAUGGCCCACUGGCCCAUAUAGAGUGAGGCUUCGAUACCAAAUGAUACGAACCUGCCUAACUCCACCUCAAA
rnacentral:misc_RNA from 1 species